AGUGGGUGGGGAUUGGAAGUGGACACACAGCAGCUGUGGUGUUUCCGUGUUUCCGAGUUGCUUCCCAGUAGUUCCUCUCAGUUCCAUUUCCAGUUGUUUCCAAGCCAUUAAAUUCUUUCCAGGCGAGAUAAGGGGCCCGCCCAUCCCACCCAGGGUGUGUCACGUGUAGGGGGAGGUUCAGACGGACAGAAGCAGGGAGAGCCUGGAAGGGGGACGGAAUGAAGACGGAGCCCUGUGACCCUGGAGGCAUCUCUCAAUCAUCCCAGCCCCGCUGAACCGAUGUAUGGUCACCAUAGGUAUACUUGGCCCAGAGAGAGGCCAGGAGACCCUGGAGAGGAGCAAGAGCUGGAAGGACAGCUCUGAGGAACAGCCAUGGGAAGACUGAAGACUUCGGGCAGAAACAAAUGAAGGGGGUUCUGGAAGGACUUGUUUGAGAAGGAAGGGUGGAUGAUCUGGAUUUCUGAAACUUCUUUCUGCAUCCAGUUACCAUGUAGAUUCAGUUGGAAGAAAUUGCCAAGUAUAAGUCACAGGGUCAACACUCCACUAUUGAGAUUUGGAGGCGGGAGGUGGUGAGAAAGGGGGACGUGGAGAGAGAAGACAGCCUGGGAUGAAACAUGGGAGAACUAAGAAGCUGAGGCUGAAAAGGGGGCAAGAGAGCCACAGGAGGAAGGGUUUGGACUUCCUCUGCCUGAAGCCAUGGGUGUGGGGAAAAGGGAGGAGGGAGGACAUUUCUAUCCCGUGACAAAAGAAAGUCACAGAAUUAUUUUGUUCUCUGCUCUGGGGCGGGUGGGCGCCCGUAUUUACCAGAGGGACUGAGGUCGCUGUAGCAACCACACAUCUGGGCCCCGGAAUCCAGAUGUGCUGUAUCCAGAAGCCAUAGCAGAACGAUGAGGCAAACGUGUCAGGCUCCCCAGUCCCGGCCCCGCAGCUGGGAAGAGGACAGAGGACUGGAGCGGGGAGGUGAAGGGAGAAGGGGGGAGGAAGGAGGAGAGGGCUGAGGUGGGGAGAAGAGAGGAAGUCGUGGAAGGGGACAAGGAAUGUGGACAAAGGAGUGGAGAGGGCAAUGGAGGGGGUGGUGUGACAAGGGAGGACGUGUCCAGGGUCAGCAGAGGGAGGGGAUGAGAAGACAACGAAAAAAGAAAGGGAGCAGAUAGUGAGGCCGAGGGGAAGGAAGGGGAAAUACAAAAACAGCGAGAAACAACAGAUGAACAGACUAAAGAGUCAGAAAGAGAAGGCGGGGACUCGUGCUGGGUAGAGGGCAAAGCGAUGCAGGAAAGAAGCCUAGAGAAAAGAGAAGAGGGAGAGAGAGUGCGUCAGGGGUGGUAAGAGGAACAAAAGGCGGAUUCUGAGGAAGGAAAGCAGAACAGAAAGAUAAAGAGGGCCUGAGACAGGAAGGAGCCAACAGGAGGCACUAAGUUACAGUGGCCAGCAUGCUGAGAUGACCAAACGGGGGCUGUGGCUGGACACCCACGUGGGCCUGGAGGGCGGCAGCCCAGACAGACCUGCCUUCACCCCUGCAGCCGACUGACCUCCUCUUCACACCCCUCUCGGGCCUUCCCACCACCCCACUCCCUGGUCCAAAAGAGCCUGAUUCCUGCCUGGUUCACACCCAAGUGCCAGCUGUCCCUAGCUGCCACUUCGCAGGAGGAGCUGCAGGCCCCACCCGAGAGCACCAGGCUGAUGCCAGUACUUCAAACACUUUCCCGAGCAGUGGGGGCGGGUGGGGCAGGAAAGAGAAAAAGCAAUGGGACAAUGAAACAGUGAUGGACCCAGAUGGGUUAAAAGUGGAACAGAGGAGAAAAGGACAGGUAAAUGGAGAGAGAAAGGAGCAAGGGAUGAGGGGAGGGUGUGCCCACUAUGGACCAGGCACUGUGAACAUCAUCUUUUAUCCUCACAUCAACCCUGAGACGUGGGUAGGAGUAGCCCAUUUCACAGAUGAGGAAACUAAGGCUCAGAGUGUUUAAGUUACCUCUUAAGGAGGCCCACUAAUAAAAGGCAAAGCAGGGACUCCCACUCCCACUCAGGUGGUCUGCCUCCAAACUCCUUGUUCUCCUUGCACUCACCGCCUGGAUGAGGCUGGAUAAGGCUCGAGGGACGUUGGGACAGGAAGUGCUGAUGGAGGAGCCAGGACUGCCCUCUGGAAGGAGGUGAGGCCUAGUUCCUGGGGGCCCUGGUUCCAGGUUGCCGUAGUUACUUGGUCUGUUUUCACCCCAAACACAGUAAUGGGGAAGGGGGAGAGCCUGGCUGGACACGUGAGGUUCUUCCCCCGUUUCAGGCCUGGGCUUGUGGCCCAGGCGGCCCCUGUCCAGUGAUCUGGGCGUUGAGCCCAGGCCUAGCCCACACCCUCCCACUGACCCAGGACACUCCUGCAGGGCCAGGCCGGAGGUGCUGCCGGACAGGAGCUGCUGACAGGGGACCCCCCCAGGUUGAAUGAGACUUGGCCCCCCACCCUUCAUCCUGUCCCCCUUCCUCCUAAUUAGAAAGUACAGCCUUUCCUGCUGGCCCCUCACUCAUCCCUUAUUUUCAACUGGGUUCUCAAUCUCAGUUGCCUCCAGUUUAGGGCUAAGAAGAUGUUCUUCAACAUCCCCCUUCUCUCCAAACACUGCCCCCUGUCCCCUGUGGCUCCUCCUCUCUGGGCUCACAGCCCUUGGCCCCAGCUCCACUGUUUGUUCGAGCUGCUCAUCCUGGAAAGCAAGCGGGGGAGAACCUGCUAGAGGGCCGGGGACCCAGGGAGGCUGCUCACCCUAAAGGGCGUGGGGCCCCCUGUCCUUCCUGUUUACUCAGACACAUUCCAGGAUCUGUAUCCUCUGGCUGGUCACGCCAUGGGACAUCACUCCCCCGCUCCCCCGUUAGACAGCAGACGUCCAGAGUUGCAGGGGUGGGGUAAGGGGAUGACUUGAGGUCUGCGAUCGCACACCCUCCCCACCCCAGAGCCAGCUAUGUCUUCAGUGCUUGGUUCUGACAUACGGGCCCUACAGAAGCCACCUUCCCCCAAAUUCCCUGUCAUGAGCCAUCGUUCCUUCAACUCCCUCCAAGUUGUUUAUUUAAUAAUAAAAAAAGAAGA